AGCCCCUAGCUAUGGACAAAGAGAGACCUGUUGGUGGUGGUGUUCUCCUAUCAGUCAGGGGCAGAGUAGAUGGCAGUCCUCUGUUCAUCCUAGCCUGAUGCCUGACUUGGUGGCCAAAGCUGUCUUAUGCCUGGGACUCAUAA
rnacentral:snoRNA from 1 species